rnacentral:rRNA from 1 species
CCUACGGGAGGCAGCAGUGGGGAAUAUUGCGCAAUGGGCGAAAGCCUGACGCAGCGACGCCGCGUGAGGGAUGAAGGUCUUCGGAUCGUAAACCUCUGUCAGCAGGGAAGAACGGUCACUGUGCUAAUCAGCAGUGAAUUGACGGUACCUGCAAAGGAAGCACCGGCGAACUCCGUGCCAGCAGCCGCGGUAAUACGGAGGGUGCGAGCGUUAAUCGGAAUGACUGGGCGUAAAGCGCGCGUAGGCGGUAUGUCAAGUCAAGGGUGAAAUCCCCGCGCUAAACGUGGGAACUGCCUUUGAAACUGGCAAACUGGAGUGUGGGAGAGGAUAGUGGAAUUCGAGGUGUAGGAGUGAAAUCCGUAGAUAUCUGGAGGAACAUCAGUGGCGAAGGCGACUAUCUGGCACAUAACUGACGCUGAGGAGCGAAAGCGUGGGUAGCAAACAGGAUUAGAUACCCUUGUAGUC